rnacentral:rRNA from 1 species
CGCGUAGGCGGUUUGGUAAGUCAGAUGUGAAAGCCCUGGGCUCAACCUGGGAAUUGCAUUUGAUACUGUCAGACUAGAGUAUGGUAGAGGGAGGUGGAAUUCCAGGUGUAGCGGUGAAAUGCGUAGAUAUCUGGAGGAACAUCAGUGGCGAAGGCGACUUCCUGGACCAAUACUGACGCUGAGGUGCGAAAGCGUGGGUAGCAAACA